UACGAACAUAUCACGUUUAAACACCGGUUCUCGUCCUAUCAGCGAAGUUAAGCAACGUCGGACCUGGUCAGCACCUAGAUGGGUGACCUCUUGCGAAUACAACGAGGCUGUAAG